GGGUUGUGAGGUUAAGCGACCAAGCGUACACGGUGGAUGCCCUGGCAGUCAGAGGCGAUGAAGGGCGUGCUAAUCUGCGAUAAGCGCCGGUAAGGUGAUAUGAACCGUUAUAACCGGCGAUACCCGAAUGGGGAAACCCAGUGUGACUCGUCACACUAUCAUUAACUGAAUCCAUAGGUUAAUGAGGCGAACCGGGGGAACUGAAACAUCUAAGUACCCCGAGGAAAAGAAAUCAACCGAGAUUCCCCCAGUAGCGGCGAGCGAACGGGGAGGAGCCCAGAGCCUGAAUCAGCAUGUGUGUUAGUGGAAGCGUCUGGAAAGGCGCGCGACACAGGGUGACAGCCCCGUACACAAAAGCGCAUGUGCUGUGAGCUCGAUGAGUAGGGCGGGACACGUGGUAUCCUGUCUGAAUAUGGGGGGACCAUCCUCCAAGGCUAAAUACUCCUGACUGACCGAUAGUGAACCAGUACCGUGAGGGAAAGGCGAAAAGAACCCCGGCGAGGGGAGUGAAACAGAACCUGAAACCGUGUACGUACAAGCAGUGGGAGC
rnacentral:rRNA from 1 species